rnacentral:tRNA from 1 species
GCACUGGUAGCUCAGCUGGAUAGAGCACAUGACUAUGAAUCAUGAGGUCGGGAGUUCGAAUCUUCCCCAGUGCGCCA